ACACACUGCAACCCCCAACAAUGGCGUCCCGGUACGAGGUGGAGGUGACUAUCCAAUCCGCCCGCGAUCUCAAGAACGUUAACUGGCGCAACGGCCCGGUCAAGGCCUACGCCGUCGUCUGGAUCGACCCCGCCGCCAAGUGUACCACCAAAGCGGACGUCGACGGCGAUACCAACCCCACCUGGGACGAGAAGCUCAUCGUCCCCCUCGGCGAUCGCCCCCUUGACGACGCCGUUCUCUACAUCGAUGUCGUACACGCCGGAUCCUCCGAUGGAGUCAAGCCGCUCAUCGGAUCCGCCCGGCUCCCGCUCCGGGAGGUGCUCGACGAGGCCGGCAUGGGCGGUAAGUGUAUUAGAUCUCUGAAAUUGAAGCGGCCUUCCGGCCGCCCCCACGGCACGAUUGAGGUGAAGGUAAAGGUUGCCCCUAGAUCUGAUCCUCGCUACGCUGAUCCCUAUGCCCCGCCUUACGGCGCAGGGACCAGGGAUCCCUACGGCGGCGGCGGCUACGGCCAGCCGUACGCCGCCCCGCCGCCGUCGGGAUACCCGUACAGCGCGCCACCUUACGGGGCCGCGCCGCCCCAGCCGGCUUACGGGUAUGGGGCGGCCCCGCCUGCGUACGGGGUGCCACCGCCUGCUUACGGGGCGCCACCGCCUGCUUACGGGCAGACGGGGUACGCUGCUGCCCAGCCGGCCUACGGUCAGUCUUCCUAUGAGAAGGAUAGCUAUGGAGCUGCGCCGUCGUCGGGGUACAAUCAGGGAGGCUAUGGGAGCGCCCCGGUGGCUGAGAAGAAGUCGAAAUUUGGGAUGGGGACAGGGCUGGCGGUGGGGGCGGCGGCUGGGCUGCUGGGAGGGCUGGCCCUUUAUGAAGGGGCUGAGUUUGUGGAGGACAAGAUCGCUGAUAAAGCUGCGGAGAAGGUGGAGGAGGAUGAAUUUGCGGAGAGGGUGGAGGAUGGUGAUUACUACGAUGAUGACUAUUGAGGAAGCUAGCAGUGUGAGGCUCUGUUUCUGAUUUUUACUCUCUUGUUGCUGCUUUUUUUUAAAGUUUGUUUCAGUUAUAAGUUCUGCCAGGUUCAUUGUCUUUUAAAAUGAAAUUGAAUGAAUGAAAGUAUGGCCCAUGAUGAAGCCAUCUUGGGUUCGAAG
rnacentral:misc_RNA from 1 species